rnacentral:rRNA from 1 species
AAUGAACGUUGGCGGCGUGGAUUAGGCAUGCAAGUCGUGCGAGAACCGUAGCAAUACGGGGACAGCGGCGGAAGGGAGAGGAACACGUGGAUACCUACCCUCGGGUCCAGGAUAGCUGUGGGAAACUACAGGUAAUACUGGAUGACAUCUCCGGAUCAAAGGUGUGAUUCCGCCCGGGGAGGGGUCCGCGUCCUAUUAGCUUGUUGGUGAGGUAACGGCCCACCAAGGCAAAGAUGGGUAUGGGGUGUGAGAGCAUGCCCCCACUCACUGGGACGUAGACACUGCCCAGACACCUACGGGUGGCUGCAGUCGAGAAUCUUCGGCAAUGAGCGCAAGCUUGACCGAGCGACGCCGCGUGCGGGAUGAAGGCCUUCGGGUUGUAAACCGCUUUGGUCCGAGAGAAAGGGCAACUUGAUCGAUCGGAGAAACAAGGACGGGCUAAGUUCGUGCCAGCAGCCGCCGUAACAC